rnacentral:lncRNA from 10 species
CGUGCACAGCUCUGGGCUCCUCAGGGCACUGUGGAGAGACUGCCCUGCUCAGGGCCUCCCCUAGGGACGUGUGCGGUAGAUGCGGGGAUCCUGGCCGCCAGGGUUUCUCUUCACAGGGUUCUGUGUGGGAGCCCUCGCUGCCACCAUAGUCAGACCAUCGGCAAAUCCUGGUGGGUCUGCCUUCAAAACACGUCGGGAAUCCAGACCCCUCUCACCGCCUCUCUGCUUCCCACUCCUGGUCCAGCCACCAUUGUCUUUUGCUUGGAUCAUAGAAACUGCCUCUGCCUGGCCUCCGUCCCUGCCUCUUGCUGUGCCCCACCCCCACAGUCUAUUCUCAACACAGCAGCCAGGGUGACUCAGUUAAAACCUGAGUGAGAUCAUGCCACUCCUCUGCUUAAAAUCACCCAGUGGCCCCUCAUUUACUCAGGGUGAAAGCUGAAGGCCCUACCGAGGCCUGCAAAGUCCAAGAUAACGUAGUCCCCAGUGCGUCCCGUGACCUUGUCUCCUAGCACUGGCCCCAGGCUUGCCCUGUCCUCACCAUGGCACCUCCGUGAUGCUCCUCCAGCACUCUGGGCACACGUCCUUCUCAGACCCCUUGCACUGCUCUUGCUUCUGCCUGGAAGGUGUUAUCCCCAGACGUUUCCAUGCAGGCCUCAUUCACUCACUGGCUGUCUUCAAGUCCUUGGUGGAACGUCACCUGCCCUGACCAUCCUAUUUAAUAUUGCAGCCCAUGCCUCAGUGCUCUCCAUUCCCCUUGAUUUUCAUUCAAACUAUACAAUUUCCUUUUUU